AGAAGACCUAGCCGCUCUUCCCGCACUCGCGCCGCUCCGUUUCCGCUUCCUCAUGCCUCACCUCUCUCUCCCCCUCGACCCGCGCCCGCGACCCUCGUCCCGCCGCCGCCGCUGGAACCCUCGUCCCUCUUGCCGCCGUCGCCUCCGCUGUCGAGUAGUGAGCGAGAGCAGCGAGAGGAACAACGAGCGAGCGAGCAGCCAGCCUUUCAUGGCCUCCGCCCUCUCUCUUCCCCACCCCUCUCCCCUCACCACAAGAGAAGAGAGGCAGGGAGAUCGACCGAGCAGAUCAGGCGGCGGCCGGCCAUCGGACGGGAGGGCGCCCAGAUCCAUCCGCCCCGAUCCGGCCAUGGGCCUGGACUCAAAAUCGCGAGCAAGCGGCCGUGUGUCUCCUUCCUUCUGUUCGACGGGGCCAUGCGUAGGAGGAAGGAAGGAGGAGAAAGGAAGAGGCCGCCGGUGUGCGAGGUACGGCGUUGGAAUCGAUGGGGAUGGUUGCUCCUCCCAAGAUUCAGUUAUGGCAUGGACAUGUAUGCUGAAUAUCCCCUCACUGGACAAGAUUGGAUUUUAGUGUAUACAAGCCCUCCUCUCAGCUGCUCAGGCAUAAACACCUUACUGCAAAUGUUCUUUGUGUCUCGCCUCCUCGUCGUGAUGGGUGGCUCCUACAGCUUCGCCAUGCCAACCAUCUCCAUGAGGUAGCUGUGCUUCUUGAUGAGCGGGCUAGCCAUGAGGCGAGGAGCAGCAAGGUCUGAGAGAAGAGGAGAAGGGGAUGAAUCUUGAGGAAGUGCUUGGUGAAGAAAAUAUGAUGUUCCUGAUGGCAAUGCUGGUAAUUAACAAUGAGAAAGAAGGAAGUGAGAUUGGAUUUGUACUAGGACAACGCCUCCCCAAGAUCUGGACCGGAUGCCACUGCGCGGCGUGAUUCCGGAUCGCGAGCAGAUUGCCGCCAUAUUUAUCUCUCUGUUUUCAGAGUCCCUCCCUAUUGCUAUCUCCCGCCUGAGUUUGCGUCGCUGUUGUGCGUUGUCUCUCCAUUCAUGCCUGCUCUUGACAGGAGCAGCACGGGCUGCCACACAACAUGCUUUACCUAGGACGGACUGCAGGUGGCCUCUAAUAUGGGUAGUGAGGAGUUCAAUUUUUCUAUACAAUCUCUAGGAGUUUAAUUAGGUAGCCUCUAAUAUGGGCUCUUGCCCAUUUUAUGUCCAAAAUCUAAUUGACCUUCUAAGUUUGCUAUAUAUGCUAAAGGUUAUCAUGGUUUUAAUUGUACUGUGACUGGUUUACGGUUAUUAUUUUCUGUGUUUUCUGGCAAGUGCGCAUGUUUUGAAAUUAAGCUUCUUAAGAAAAUGAAAAUUAUAAUAAGGACAAGCAUGUUUCUUAUCUUCAUAAUUCAGUCAUAAACUAAUGGUCUUAGUUAUAUGGUGGUCUUUGAUCCUACCUCAAGGAACAAAGUUUCCAUCCUCUGUUCGGGGUUAUUCAAAGCUUGCCAUUGUUUUUCAAAAAAUUAGUUGCAGAAUAUUAAUGCCAUCAUAUGCUCUAAUUCUCUGGUAGGCUGAUUCAUUGUGCUCAUUCGAUAAUUCUAUUACAUCAAGUUCAGGACGAUAUUGAGGCACGUGGCACCAAUGAUACAGACUCGUGUGGUGUUAUCAAGCGUUAAAGAGCUAGAAAAAGAUUUCGCAAGGGCAAGUUUUCAUGUUCUUUUCCUGUCUCCCGUCUCAGAUUUUUAUCCGUUCUUGUUUCCAGCUUCUUUGUAUCCAUAGCCUAUUAAUUAGUACUACAGUUGUUGCUUGUGAGGGGCCUAGCAACAUUGCUUCAUGCUGGUAUAGUUUCUUUCAUAUUUUCUUUAGUUUGGGGACAACAAUAGUUCUAUGGUCCUGCAUGUAUAAUAGAUGUACCCAUUGUUUCGCUUGCUCUGCUCGGUUGAGUUCUUCUCUAUUUUCCUUUUUAAUUUUUGACCUUUAUGAAAGGAAAGGGACAAGAGGGCAGGCCUGGCGCAGUGGUGAAGUCCUCCCCACUUGUGCCAAGAGGUCCUGGGUUCGAACCAGCCUCUCUGCAUUGCACUUUGCAGGGGUAAGACUAGGUUCCUAUAAUCCCUCCCCAGACCCCACCUUGUGUGGGAGCUUCUAUGCACUGGGUCUGUCCUAUGAAAGGAAAGGGACAAGCGCUUCGCCUAAAACACCUAGCAACUCACUAUUCCCUAAGAGCGCUCGUCGCAAAUUCUUUGCUUCACCUUCCAAGACCAAGGGAGCUGCACUGCCCGAGUCCAUAGUCAUACCUAGACGAGCGUCAGUGAAGAUUUGGGAGGCAGAGAGGGAUUGCUCAAGUGGAAACAGAGCAAGAACCACAAGGAGCUCAAGAUAUGUGCCCGAAUAAUAUUAAUGUACACUCUUUCAAUACAUGACUUACUCUUGGCCUUUGCGCCAUUGGCGCAACUGGUCAUCUAGUAUAUGGAAAAGUUCUAGUGAGGGC